rnacentral:snRNA from 1 species
GUAAUCUAUUAUAAGACAUUCAAUAAAACUGGAAUGAUAAAGAGUAGAUCAGCCCUUGCAGAAGUAUGACACGCCCUACUAAUAGCAGUAGCAGUAAAUU